rnacentral:lncRNA from 1 species
GCCAGGAAUUGAAUCUGAGCCACUGCUGAGACCUAUGCCACAGCUGUGGUAAAGCCAUAUCCUUUAACCCAUUGAGCAGGGCUGGGGAUGGAACCUGCACCUCCACAACAACCCGAGCCACUGCAGUCAGAUUCUUAAUCCACUGCACCACAUAAGGAACUCUUAGAAUAUCUGAUUUUUAUGAAAUGACCCCCAAAUCUUGGUCUUUAAAAUGUGAAAUUUCCCUAUUUCAAAAUAGAGCCACUAUACAAAAGAAACAAACCACCCUUUGGGUGAUAGCUGAAACUGGGUCUCAUUUGCCAGUGUGCGACUUAUAGCUUAAACUAGUCUACAACUUUAUUUUAUUUUUUGUGAAGGGAAUAGAUAGCAGAAUAGGUGCAUAGCAUCAUACACAGAAUUUCUUUAGGGUUUUUUACAACUUUGCCACUUACCCACCCUAGUCCAGUGGAGGACUUGGGUCCUGAUUCCCUGUCUGGGUCCAUGUGAUGGAAACCUAAGACAAAGGGCUGGCCAGUUGGGAACAAGCAGGGUCAAAACUCUAGUGCGCAGCUAGAAACCAGGAGGGAGGUUUAUAUAUAAAUGAUAUGGGAUGAAACAGACUCUAUUGAACUAGAAAGAAGGAUUCUAGCCCAUGACGGUGGUUGGGUCUGGAGUAAUUACUGUGUUUGUGUAGGGGCAGCAAUAGAUUUCUAUAGAGCAGAUGCUUGCAACCCACAAGAGAAGAGGAACAAGACUCGGUUGUGGUUGUAUCCCAUUAGAGGAGGACGCUUGUCAUAGGAGCUUUCGUAGGCUGCCUUUCACUUAAUCCACACACACAUAAUGAGACUGUUAUUGCUGUUUUGCUGAAGGUGAAAUUGAAGGUCUGAGAGUUUCUGCUGUAAGUGGUUCAGUAAGUAAGUGGUGGAGCUGCAAAUUGAAUCUAGAUCGUUUGAUAGGAAGGCAAGUAAACCACCACCCUCAAUUAGGGCUAAUAUGCCCCUGCCUCCUGGCCCAGGAAUAUAGCCUGACAAACGGAAAGAAGACCAUGGAUUUCACCUAUUUUUAUGACCCCAAGUUUUACAGUGGGAAUCUGGCCUCACAUUUGCAUAUAUUUCUACCUAGGAAGAGCUAUAUUUUCAUGAUUAGCAUAAAAAAUGACUACAGGAGAAGUCCAUUCUCAACUCAAGUUGAAAUAGGGUAUGAACAGAAACCUCCUCUACCCUGCAGAGCCCACUCCUGAGCCAUUACAUCCCUGUUUGACCAGGGCAGAUCCUAAUUCUUCAACUGAGAUUUCUUUGCUCCACUACAUUCAAUCCAUGUUGGGGCUAUUAAAAUGUCUUUUUUAGUACUUAGUCUGAAAUUACCUCAUUUUACAUAUUUCCCUGUUACAUAGAUCUGUAGCCUUUUGGAAAAUGAAUUUCUUUCAGUGGGGGUGGUGGAAUGUCUGUGAUUUUAAUGUUAUUAUAUAAUAUGUCUUGAUUAAUCAGUGAUUGAGAGCCAUCUAGCUCUAAGCCCGAGUACAAGUAAAUAAAAAUGGACUUUGAGCCUCCCUUCUGCCUCCAUUAAAAAAAACCCUCUGAAAAUGAGAUGAUAGGAGAAAGGGGAUGGCAGCACCUAAGCCCAAGAACCUGGAAGGUUUAAGCGAGGUACUUAGUAUUCAUCUGGUAGUCACUGCAAUAAUAUCAAUCUUACCAAAUUCUCCUGGUAUUAAUGUAGAUGUUCUGCAUUUAAUAUAUAUUUGCAGUAGAAUUUCAUUGUAAUUGAGCACUAAAUGAUACCCACUUAUGGUAAAGUGGUUCCAGAAUUUUUUGUAAUAAAUGGAUUGUAGUGGAAUAGAAGAUCCCAGAUUCAUCGCUGAGUCUAUAUUAGACUCUUUAUGCUCUAAUCGUCAUUGACUGUCUUUACUGUAUUAUUUCGAGAGUUCAUAAUUCCCCGUGCUGAACAAAUGAUGAUUUGUGAGUGAAGUAAGACAGUGCCUGGAUUAUGCAGUGCCACUGAUUUUUUUAUUGCUCUUGUUUCACAAAAUAUCUUCUAAAAUCAUUUGAAUCAUCUCUGUUGGUGUCAUUACUAAUGGCUGUAGAUUCAUGCGGGGAGGGAUUUGUAUAGUGACAAUGACAGCAAACAUUUAUUGAGUGCUUAUUAUGUUCUAAACACCCUAUAAAGGUAAAUACUUUACAUUCAUUGUCUUAUUGGAACCUCACAACAAUUCGAUAGAUUUGGUUACAAUUCAUAUUUUAGCCCAGUAAGUUGAAGUUCAGAGGUUAAGGAAUUUGUAGGAGGUAUACAGCUAGAAAGAGACAGAAUUGGGGUUGAAUUCAUAUCCACCUGGCUUCAGGCUUCAAAGUCUGUGCUUUGAUUCACCAUACCAGAUGGCUCGUGGAAUGGAAUCCCUCUAAGGAGACGGAACAAACUAUGGAUUCCUGGACCAGUAAAGAAAUCCUUGUGUUCCUUGAUCACAAGCAGAUAGAGUUAUUAAAAUAACUCAGAAACUAUAAUUCGGACUCAGGGAUGAGGGGAGCUAAUGUUUUUUGUGGGGUGGUGGUGGAAUAUCUGCCUAAAAAUUGGAAACACAAUGAUUCCAAGAAGUGAAUAACCAGUAAACCAGAUAAAUUAUAUUACUGUACUUGUUUGCAUGGAAGUGGCUUUACCAGACACGUGACAGUGGCUACUUAAUCCCAGGGUUAGAGCAGGUGGCUGUUAGAGCUGAGGUUGAAAGCUCUGUGUGAUUUGUAAUCCUCACACUGCCCGUAUUGAGUGUUCUGGGAGGCCCAUGGGAAGGGGCUGUCCCAGCUCUGACACUAAUCAAUGGCCUUGGCGAAACAUUGACUUGUCUCAUCAGCAAAACGAAGGGACUGGGUUGAAUUCAAGACUUGGAAAUGUAUUGAGAUUUUGGCAUCGUGCGUCUUCAAAAAAUAUAAUUCAAAAUUAAUUCUAUGUAAGAACAGAUGAGAAGAGAACAUAUGUGGUUUGAAGUAAGUGUUCUCCCUCCCCAUUCUAGUGCUUGGGUGCCCCCUGUCCUAGUCCAGACCCUCUGAAACCCCAUGGGCUGUUGAAGACAAGUCUGGAAAACCUCUGGUUGAGCUGCUCCCAAAGGCUCUGCUAACUCAUACUCUCAUACCCAUAACAUCCAGAUAUAGAGCACACCCAGAGCCACGUCUGCUUUAAUUUUGUGAACGCCGGGAAUUGUCACUGAUAAGUGUUCCUUGCCACAGUGAUUCUUGGGCUAAUGGUUUCCUUAGGGCAAGGGUACAGGGCAUUAAGCAUCUUGGAUUAACACUAAUUUGUUUUGGAUUAACCACAAUUUAUGUUCCCACCAUUUCAUUUUUCUUUCUCCUCUUCUUCUAGUGCAUGUGAUUGGCUAUUUUACAUAAUUCUGCAAACUGCUUCAAAAAAAAUUUUUUUUUGAGCAAGGUGGAUUAGGAAAUGAACCAACCACAAACAAAAUCUCCCUUGAAUCAUUUCUGAUUCCAUGCACAAAACCUGUCGUGAAGUCCUACCUAUUUUGUCAGUUGGAGCUCAACUGACACUUUGUUGCUUUGGUGGUUCCCAAACUUAGGUGCAUCAGCUGGUCCCAGGGUCACUCUUAUUACAUCUGUGUGCUUCCUUGAUCACACUUAGCAGUUUCUGGCACGAACCUGUGUGAUUAUGUGACUUAGUACUGAAUUCUCAUGGGACCUCAAACUCUCCAGGUAUGAGGGAAGCAAACACACCCAUGCUGUUCACUGUUUUAUCCUAAGUAUCAACACAUUUUCUGGCAUGGGGAGGAUGUGCACCAAAUGUCUGUGGAAUGAAUCAAGGUUAAAAUUCUUUCUGUUUGGGAGCAGUCUAAUCAGAUAGCUAUUGAUUCGUGGUGAAGCUCUGGAGCCAGGCUACUUGGUUCAAAUCCAGGCUCAAACACUUCCUCACUGUGUAUUCUUGGAUGAAUCACUUAAAUCUUUUAAGGCUUGGUUUCUUCAUCUGUGAAAUAGGACUGAUGAAAAUAUCUGUGUUGUAGUGUUUGUAUAAGAAAUAAUGAGAGGAGUUCCCGUCGUGGUGCAGUGGUUAACGAAUCCGACUAGGAACCAUGAGGUUGUGGGUUCGGUCCCUGCCCUUGCUCAGUGGGUUAACGAUCCGGCGUUGCCGUGAGCUGUGGUGUAGGUUGCAGAUGCGGCUCGGAUCCCACGUUGCUGUGGCUCUGGCGUAGGCCGGUGGCUACAGCUCCGAUUGGACCCCUAGCCUGGGAACCUCCAUAUGCCGCGGGAGUGGCCCAAGAAAUAGCAACAACAACAACAACAACAAAAGAC